UACGUAGGGGGCAAGCGUUGUCCGGAAUCAUUGGGCGUAAAGCGCGUGUAGGCGGUUCGGUAAGUCGGCUGUGAAAGUCCAGGGCUCAACCCUGGGAUGCCGGUCGAUACUGCCGGACUAGAGUUCGGAAGAGGCGAGUGGAAUUCCCGGUGUAGCGGUGAAAUGCGCAGAUAUCGGGGAGGAACACCUAUGGCGAAGGCAGCUCGCUGGGACGUUACUGACG
rnacentral:rRNA from 1 species